UUUCCGGUCGGGCUCGGAGUCCUCUGAGCCUGCACUAUCUUACCCGCGAACUCUAAGGAGAGCAGAUGUGCUUUAGAGAGAGCAGCACUAUAGUUCGCACAUUCGUUGACCCUUUGCGAGUUGUUCUGUUUAUUGGUAAAUAUGCGUGUUUCUAAGUGUUUUUCCGGUGUUUUCGUGUAUAGGAAAUCACUUCAUUGGCGUCGCCGGUAGGAUAUUUUGCCCACCUACGCCGCGGAUCAUAGCGGCAGCCGCAUGAUCGCAGGAACAAUGAUGUGCUCGGAUGGAUACUGGGCACAAACAGAGAAAACCUCAAGAACUUGAAAAUACAGCACCGUCACACCAAAAAUACGGCUGAAUGAUCACAUUAACUACUAGGUGAUUCAUUUCAUUACCCUGUACAUUUGAGAGAAACUCCACCAUGCCAACUAAAUGAAUAGACUCUAUUCACGCGCGCGAUGAAGUUAGUUUUCAAAACGACGUUGUAUUCACAUGUGCGUGUGGAUGCGAGAAAUGGAGGAUACAUGCUUAAAAUGGAAAACAGGCUCAGUGGCUAAUUAUUGUGCCCCACAGUGUGACGAGGAUAGUCAUCGGGGCACUGCAACAUCGUUCCAUUCUUUUCCAAAGGUUUCAUCUGUUCAGAAAGCUUGGAUUCUAAUGACUAGAGAGGCGACGAAGGCCCCAACUCUAAUAUAUCCCAAUCCAUCUUUGUGAGCUCCAAACAUUUUGAGAAUAUGUAGUGGAAAUACUGGUAGGUAAAGUAGUUCAGGAUAUCUGCUGUUUAAGACAUGUACAUUGUUGUUUGCAGAAUGUCAAUGGUUUGAAAGAAAUAAAGUUACUGUUUUCGUGGAUGAUCCAGAAUAAUGUCUUUGGUCUCAAAUUGUUGUUUAAAAUAAUGUUUCGGCUUUUAUAUUUCAAACAACAUUUAAAGUGG